rnacentral:rRNA from 1 species
AUUGAACGCUGGCGGCAGGCCUAACACAUGCAAGUCGAGCGAGCGGCGGACGGGUGAGUAAUGUAUGGGGACUGCCCGAUAGAGGGGGAUAACUACUGUAAACGGUGGCUAAUACCGCAUACGGUCGGAUAACCCAUAUGGGAGUAGCUAGUAGGUGAGGUAAUGGCUUACCUAGGCGACGAUCACUAGCUGGUCUGAGAGGAGAAGCAGCCACACUGGAACGGAGACACGGUCCAGACUCCUACGGAGGCAGCAGUGGGGAAUAUUGCACAAGGGGCGCAAGCCUGAUGCAGCCAUGCCGCGUGUAUGAAGAAGGCCCUAGGGUUGUAAAGUACUUGCAGUCGGGAGGCGUUACCGACAGAAGAAGCACCGGCUAACUCCGUGCCAGCCGCCGCGGUAAUUC